rnacentral:tRNA from 1 species
UGCCAUUAUGGGGUAAUAAACACAAUACGUUUUCGACGUUUAACUAAACAUUUCUUUAAAGGGAU